rnacentral:sRNA from 1 species
AAUUAGCCCCGGUUGCAGUGAAAAUCCUUUUGUGAGGAUGCGUGUUUUUGUACGGUAAAAAAGAGUGGAACGCAGUGGAACUCCUUUUUUACCGCUGACAAAAUAAGCGGAUGAGCAAAAGAUUGGAACGGAAAACGGGAUGGGCU